UACGGAGGGAGCUAGCGUUGUUCGGAAUUACUGGGCGUAAAGCGCGCGUAGGCGGCUUUGUAAGUUAGAGGUGAAAGCCCGGAGCUCAACUCCGGAACUGCCUUUAAAACUGCAUCGCUUGAAUCCAGGAGAGGUGAGUGGAAUUCCGAGUGUAGAGGUGAAAUUCGUAGAUAUUCGGAAGAACACCAGUGGCGAAGGCGGCUCACUGGACUGGUAUUGACGCUGAGGUGCGAAAGCGUGGGGAGCAAACAGGA
rnacentral:rRNA from 1 species